UCACGCAAGUAGCGCUCGAGUACAUUGUGUUUGACGUGAAAUUCAACCUUCACAAUAACAACUGCUCAGAUCAGACAGAUAAUGACAACAUCUAACAACUGCUGGGAGUAAUUGUGCGCCUCCUCUGAAAGCCAGGUCACAAGCUUUUCCUCCUGGCAGCGUCUCAAAGUCUUUGGGAGCUUCGAGCCUGAUGGAGUCUGACAGCUGAUCCCCCCGAUGCAAAUUCACAAAAUGACCGGGGGAGAGGUGAGGCGCUCAGGAGUGCGUUGCGUCACUGAAGAAAAGAAGAAACAAGGGAGCGUGGGAGCUCACAGCAGGUGAUCUGAGAGAGAUCAAAUCAACCUCUGCAGAUUCAUCAAGUCUUUCUCUACCUGCAGCUCCACUCACACAAAUGAAACACAGAAGCUUGUUUUAUUCGCUUCCUGCCGCCCUCAAAGCUGACAAUAACAUCCAAUAAUAAUGCAGCCGCAGCUCGAAGGUGAGCUCCGACCUGCGGACGUGAGACGCCGUUCAGCCUUUUCAUUGCUGAAUGAAUGAAGCGGGAAACACCCAACCGGCCAUUCUCCCGCACAUGACAACCAGCUGGAACAACAGUGGGAGUGACGUUCCCACACAAUUAUCAGGCUUCGUUCGCAGCUUUCUCACCAGAUUAAAACGCAUUCAUCCACAAGCAGGAGUCUGGAGUUACAGUCAGUGCUGAGUAUUCUGUGUUUAGAUGCACACAAAGUUAGGAGCGGUUGGAGUUAGUCGUUCUUUCCCCACUAAGCCACUGGGAGUCUGAGUCACAGUUUUUAUGAGUCAAAGUGAUCAACAGUGUGCAGGAUCAGUGUACCACGGUGCCCUGUCUUUCUGUCCCUACACUGUCUUCAUUAUUCAGGAGGUUUCCAACCGUGCAACCCAAGUCCUGCUGGCAGCGAGUACCUGGCCUCGUCUCUCAGCGCCUCCCUGCAGGACCUCCUGAGUCUGUGUGACGCACGCAGCCAGGUCCCUGUUUAUCAAAACCCCCAGAGCUGGAUUCAGAGCCCCCAAUAACAUCGAGAGUGUCAGAGUUCAUUCCUGAGCCUGUAAAUAGCAGUUUGACGAAACAAUCUUAACUCAAGGUCCACUUACUUGCCUUACCGAGCGCUUUCAACCACAUUCCUGAGUACACACAGUAGUAAUGAUUACGGGACCAGACCUUCAGUUCCAUGACGAGGACGAAGCCAACAACUUUGUUCACAGAAGAAGACGGCAAGGUGCGUUGAAAGCUCAGGAAGAAUCUAGUGAAGAAUUGACCUGCUGCUUGGCUUUGCGAGGCGAUACCCUCCCCUGUGGAUCUACUGGAGGAGAAACAGUGUCGUCCUGACAGCGACCCAGAGCUGAUGCACUGCUGCCUGCCUCCUCCCUUCCCCUCCAACCCGGUCUUGUGACUGUAGGGACGACAGCUGACACCACUCCUACAAAAUAAGAGCCCUGGGCUGCCGGUAAAGAGGCGGCUCUUUCAUUUUCUUAAUCUCUCUCCUUGAGUCUCAGUUCUGCAGUUUGCUUAUGUUGUCCAUGUGUUGCAGACUCUUUUCCUUUGUCUUCCUGUCUCUUAGUUUAUCAUUCUCUCUCUGUGUGUCCUAAUGUAGUUUCAGUUUCUUAUGCCAUCUUCUGAUUCUAAGCUUUUUUCCACAAGUCUCAGUCUAUUUCAGGUCAGUGUGAUGCUUCCCACUCGCCUGCUCAGGUGACAUUCACAGCUCUGUCAGCUGUCAGUGACUGCUGGUGCAUUCAAAGGCUGCUUUAACUGUUUCUUUCUCUGGUUUUUAACCUGCAUGCAGACACACGAUCUGAGGCAAACUGAGCUUAACUGCACUAAAGAUGAUGCAAUGAACACGCUGUGGAAAAACGCGAUGUCAAUUGCUACCACAGAAAUGAGUCGGCCAGUAAUCUCACCAUCGGGCCAUGUGACUGUGUGAGCAAUCAUUUGUCAAGUCCGAUGACUUUGAGCUACUUUUAAUGGAAAAUGCAAAACUUCCUGCUGUUUCACAUUAAAAGCUUUUAACCUGUGAA